rnacentral:rRNA from 1 species
UACGUAGGGUGCGAGCGUUGUCCGGAAUUACUGGGCGUAAAGAGCUCGUAGGCGGUUUGUCGCGUCGUCUGUGAAAUUCUGCAACUCAAUUGUAGGCGUGCAGGCGAUACGGGCAGACUUGAGUACUACAGGGGAGACUGGAAUUCCUGGUGUAGCGGUGAAAUGCGCAGAUAUCAGGAGGAACACCGGUGGCGAAGGCGGGUCUCUGGGUAGUAACUGACGCUGAGGAGCGAAAGCGUGGGGAGCGAACAGG